rnacentral:lncRNA from 1 species
CAGUUCGCAGAAUAAACACUGAGGGACUGCUCCCUUUGCCAUUGACCGCUCUGCGUCAGAAGCCACGCAGACCCGUUUCAGGUGCACCCAGUUCCUCUCCUUCUCCACCACUCCUGCUGCCAUGGCUGUCCCGUGCACAGCUGCCGCCGUCCUCAGCCUGCUCUCGCUGACCGCAGCUGCCCCGUCCGGCUGCGAGGACGCGCUCACACCCCUGGAGACGGUCAACCACUCUCAGAAUUCUGGGAAAUGGUUCCUUGUUGGAGGAGCUUGUGAAUGCAAGAAAACGCAAACCUGUCUGAGAAAUAUAGAGAAUGCCUGGAUGGAAAUGAUAGUUAACCCUCAGCGUGACAAAAUUUUUCUCAAUGCUGCUGCCAAGAUCAAUGGAUCAUGUCAUUUUUUUCUUGAAAACAUAGAAAUUGUUAAAGCCUCUCUCCUAUUUGACCCUGAACGGGUUGACGACUUGGUCCAUCUAUACAACUGUCCCAGCUGCUUGCUCAUGAAAUUCAACAACACUGAAGACGGGAAAACCAUUCAUUGUGUACAGCUGUGGGCAAGAACCAGGAAUCUCAGUGUUGCGGAGCUGGAUGCACACAAACGCCGAAUGGAGUGUUUUGGCUUAGGAGGCUUGAUCUUGAAGGACCCUGACACAGACCUCUGUCCCAACAACCUGAACUUCUCAUCCAAAGUCUGGUCUAUGAAGCACCAGCUGACCUCUGAGACCCCGCUCAACUGUGAGAAUUUGCUCAGACCGCAGUAUCCGAGUGACCUUACUCAGGUGUCGGGAAACUGGUUCCUUAUUGCCGAAGCAGACAAUAAUUCUAGAAGUUCUAUGGCAGAAGUGGAAAGUGUCUGGAUGAAGAUAUCGCCAACACCACAGAAUGGCACCUUCUACAUCAACACUAUAAUCAAGACCCAUAAGGGUUGUGAGAUAUACAGGACCAACAGAACCAUCGCCCACAAUACUAUCACAGCAGUUUCUUCAGGCAUUGGUCCAAAACAGCAUGUGAUGGAGCUGCUCAGCUGGUCCGACUCUCUGCUCUUGAAGUUCAGCCACAAUGCACAGAGCAAGGUGAUCUUGCAGCUGCAUAUCUGGGGAAGAACCAGGACCCUUAGCGAACCUGUCAUGGACACGUUCAGGAGACACGUGGACUGUCUGGACCUGAGACUCCCUGUGUACAUGGACCCUGAGAAAGAUUUGUGCUCUAAAGAAGGGAUCACCUCAUUUAAAGAGGAUGUCGCCACACACCAGUAUUCCAAGUCGGACUGACGAUGAAAUGCCUGCGAAAAGCGGCCGGCCGGUCCACAGAGAGUGACCGUGACAGACAGGAUCACAGACAUCACUGCCUUGCUCCUGUCAGCUGAAUCCCAUUUCUUCAGCUUCUCUACAUUUCCAGUUCUCACUUCCAAAACAGGAAUAUUCUGGGAAAAAAAUUGAAAGGAAUCUGAUGAAUAAAAUAUUACUGACAUGAAUGUGUUUUUAAUUA